rnacentral:rRNA from 1 species
GACGAACGCUGGCGGCGUGCUUAACACAUGCAAGUCGAACGGAAAGGCCCUUCGGGGUACUCGAGUGGCGAACGGGUGAGUAAUACGUGGGUGAUCUGCCCUGCACUUUGGGAUAAGCCUGGGAAACUGGGUCUAAUACCGAAUAGGACCACGCGCUUCAUGGUGUGUGGUGGAAAGCUUUUGCGGUGUGGGAUGGGCCCGCGGCCUAUCAGCUUGUUGGUGGGGUAAUGGCCUACCAAGGCGACGACGGGUAGCCGGCCUGAGAGGGUGACCGGCCACACUGGGACUGAGAUACGGCCCAGACUCCUACGGGAGGCAGCAGUGGGGAAUAUUGCACAAUGGGCGCAAGCCUGAUGCAGCGACGCCGCGUGAGGGAUGACGGCCUUCGGGUUGUAAACCUCUUUCAAUAGGGACGAAGCGCAAGUGACGGUACCUAUAGAAGAAGCACCGGCCAACUACGUG